rnacentral:rRNA from 1 species
AUCCGUACGAGCGCACCCUUGUCCCUAGUUGCCAGCACUUCGGGUGGGAACUCUAGGGAGACUGCCGGUCAUAAACCGGAGGAAGGCGGGGACGACGUCAAGUCAUCAUGGCCCUUACGCCCAGGGCUACACACGUGCUACAAUGGCCGGUACAAAGGGCUGCCAACCCGCGAGGGUGAGCGAAUCCCAAAAAGCCGGUCUAAGUUCGGAUUGUAGUCUGCAACUCGACUGCAUGAAGUCGGAAUCGCUAGUAAUCGUGUAUCAGCAACGAUACGGUGAAUACGUUCCCGGGCCUUGUACACACCGCCCGUCAAGCCAUGGAAGCCGGGAGUGCCCGUAGUCUGUGACCCAACCUAGUGAGGGAGCAGCCGAAGGUAAGUUCGGUGACUGGGGCUAAGUCGUAACAAGGUAGCCGUAGGGGAACCUGCGGCUGGAUCACCUCCUUU